AUAUUGAUUCUGCACACAUGAAAUAGUAUUUAGGAUUUCAGCAGCCCGCGACAAAGGAUUGUGUUUCGCACUAGUAAAACUAUUUAAAUUCAGACGCCUGUAUAUCCGUAUGAUCAAAUAUUAACAUAUAUUCGGAGUUAUCUACGUCCGAUCCAAUAGCGUAUGGUUGCGAAACGUGGUGGUCGGUGACAAAAGGAUACG